CAGCAGCCACGGGAAUACGUAGGUGGCAAGCGUUGUCCGGAAUUAUUGGGCGUAAAGCGCGCGCAGGCGGAUCAGCCAGUCUGUCUUAAAAGUUCGGGGCUUAACCCCGUGAGGGGAUGGAAACUGCUGAUCUAGAGUAUCGGAGAGGAAAGUGGAAUUCCUAGUGUAGCGGUGAAAUGCGUAGAUAUUAGGAAGAACACCAGUGGCGAAGGCGACUUUCUGGACGAAAUCUGACGCUGAGGCGCGAAAGCCAGGGGAGCGAACGGGAUUAGAGACCCCUGUAGUCCCUGUCUCUUAUACA
rnacentral:rRNA from 1 species